GGCUCAGGAUGAACGCUGGCGGCGUGCUUAAUACAUGCAAGUCGAACGAAGCACCUGCGACGGAUCCCUUCGGGGUGAAGAUGCUUGUGACUGAGUGGCGGACGGGUGAGUAACGCGUGGGUAACCUGCCUUAUGCAGGGGGACAACAGUUGGAAACGACUGCUAAUACCGCAUAAGCGCACGGCACCGCAUGGUGCAGUGUGAAAAGAUUUAUCGGCAUAAGAUGGACCCGCGUCUGAUUAGGUAGUUGGUGAGGUAACGGCCCACCAAGCCGACGAUCAGUAGCCGACUUGAGAGAGUGAUCGGCCACAUUGGGACUGAGACACGGCCCAGACUCCUACGGGAGGCAGCAGUAGGGAAUAUUGCACAAUGGGGGGAACCCUGAUGCAGCCGACGCCGCGUGAGUGAUGAAGUAUUUCGGUACGUAAAGCUCUAUCAGCAGGGAAGAUAAUGACGGUACCUGACUAAGAAGCCCCGGCUAACUACGUGCCAGCAGCCGC
rnacentral:rRNA from 1 species